UACGUAGGGUGCGAGCGUUAAUCGGAAUUACUGGGCGUAAAGCGUGCGCAGGCGGUUCUCCAAGUCCGUUGUGAAAGCCCCGGGCUCAACCUGGGGAUGGCAGUGGAAACUAGGGGACUGGAAUCUGGCAGAGGGGGGUGGAAUGCCGCGUGUAGCAGUGAAAUGCGUAGAGAUGCGGCGGAACACCGGUGGCGAAGGCGGCGCUCUGGACCGAGACUGACGCUGAGGCGCGAAAGCUAGGGGAGCAAACGGG
rnacentral:rRNA from 1 species